rnacentral:rRNA from 1 species
UGGAGCAUGUGGUUAAUUCGACGCAACGCGAAGAACCUUACCAGGGCUUGACAUCCCCUGACCGCGUAUGAAAGUACGUUUUCACCCUCGGGUGACAGGGAGACAGGUGGUGCAUGGUUGUCGUCAGCUCGUGUCGUGAGAUGUUGGGUUAAGUCCCGCAACGAGCGCAACCCCUACGUUUAGUUGCUAACGCGUGAAGGCGAGCACUCUAGACGAACUGCCGUUGACAAAACGGAGGAAGGUGGGAUGACGUCAAAUCAUCAUGCCCCUUAUGUUCUGGGCUACACACGUGCUACAAUGGCCGGUACAGACGGACGCAAAGCCGCGAGGUGGAGCAAAUUCUAAAAAGCCGGUCUCAGUUCGGAUUGCAGGCUGCAAUUCGCCUGCAUGAAGUCGGAAUCGCUAGUAAUCGCAGGUCAGCAUACUGCGGUGAAUACGUUCCCGGGCCUU